rnacentral:lncRNA from 1 species
GCACCUGCAACAGCUGUGCUCAGCCAAGUCAGACUGCUGGGACCGGCGCCUCCUUCCCACCGCGACCUCCGUUUCCCUGACGUUCUUAGCAGCCUCCAGUCCUGGUGGUCAGCAGAGGCCUUAGCAGGACGAGGAGGAGGAGGCCUGUUGGCACCAGACCAAUGCUGCGAGGUGUGUGAGGAUUAGAACCGCUCCAUCCCUCAGCUGCCAGACCUGGAAAGCAGGAUGGAGCUGGAGUGAGGCGGAGGGGCUGCCAGCUGCUGACCGGCACGUGAGACGCUGGUGAUUCGUGGGUCACUGAGGUAGGUGUGCCACUGGGCUGGUGAGGGCAGCUGGGCCGGGAUGCUUGGGGCCGAGGCAGAUGUGUCGUGACUGGGUGACAGGUGCUAA